GACUAGUCUGUCAUUGAUACUGUGCCCAAAUCUAUCUUCCCACUCCUCUAUGCUGGGAAAAACAACAAUGAAGGGUUUAAAGAAGCUAAAUCUGUGUACCAUAUAAUCUUAACUAUUUCAAAAAUGGGAUUGUCUAAUUUGUCCCAUUCAGAAGAUGAAUGUUGUCACUUUGUAAGUUCAAGAAAUCCUUUUAUAACAGCAGAGUCUCUAAUAAUCCUCUCAGGCACUAGUCUUAAUACACAAAUGCAAAACGGAAAUGCCCAAGAGGAUUUCAAGAGCAGCAAUAAGAGCAAUCCUCAUAGCUCUUGUGAUUCUCCGACAGACCAAUUUUUGAAUCGUUUCACGUUUAGACCUACAAGUUUUUAACAAAAUUCUUUGCUAUCAAAUAAUGGCAGCAUAGGUAAUAAUAGGACUGACAACCAUAGUAUAUAUUCAGUAUAGCAACCUUGUUUAAGUUCCCAUAUCUUACCCAAAAUACCACUACAAGCUCCUCUGACUAUUGAGAAUAGAACCCCAGUGUUUAACAUUAACAUUAUAUCUAUGGAAAUUGAUUCUUGAUUUAUGAAUUCUUAAAUUUAAUGAGUUCAUUCCAAGAAUGAAUGUAAAGGAGGC
rnacentral:lncRNA from 1 species